GAUGAACGCUGGCGGCGUGCCUAAUACAUGCAAGUCGAGCGAACAGACGCGGAGCUUGCUCCUUUGACGUUUGCGGCGGACGGGUGAGUAACACGUGGAUAACCUACCUAUCAGACUGGGAUAAUUUCGGGAAUCCGGAUCUAAUACCGGAGAAUAUCUUGAACCGUGUGGUUCAAUAGUGAAAGUCGGUUUUGCUGUCUGUUAUAGAUGCAUCUGAGCCGCAUUAGCUGGUUGGUAAGUUAAAGGCUUACCAAGGCUACGAUGCGUAGCCGAACUGUGAGAGUGAUCGGCGACACUGGAAGUGAGACACGGACCAGACGACUACGAGAGGCAGCAGUAGGGAAUCUUCCGCAGAGGGCGAAAGCCUGACGGAGCGACGCCGCGUGAGUGAUGAAGGUCUUCGGAUCGUAAAACUCUGUUAUUAGGGAAGAACAGAUGUGUAAGUAGCUGAGCACGUCUUGACGGUACCGGAUCAGAAAGCCCCGGCUAACUACGUG
rnacentral:rRNA from 1 species